GAGCCCGCCUGAAGAAUAGGGUGAUAAAAUUGAAAGUGAAGAGUCCGCCUGAAGAAUAGGGUGAUGAAAUUAAAGGUCAGGAGUCCGCCUGAAGAACAGGGUAAUCAAAUCGAAAGUUGAUGAAACCGAAAGUCAGGAUCCCGCCUGAAGAGUAAGGCAUAUAAGUUGAAAGUCAACAGAUUGAAAAAUAGCAAAUUAGGAGCCCACCUGGAGAACAGGGUGAAGAAACUGAAAGUAGUUAACAAGUUGAAGAAAUUGCAAGUCAGG
rnacentral:lncRNA from 1 species